GGAUGAAGAACGUAGCGAAAUGCGAUAAGUAAUGUGAAUUGCAGAAUUCAGUGAAUCAUCGAAUCUUUGAACGCACAUUGCGCCCGCCAGCACUCUGGCGGGCAUGCCUGUUCGAGCGUCAUUUCAACCAUCAAGCCCCCAGGGGCUUGUGCUGGGGCCCUGCGGCUGCCCGCAGGCCCUGAAAACCAGUGGCGGGCUCGCUAGUCACACCGAGCGCAGUAGCACAUCUCGCUCAGGGCGUGCGGCGGGCUCCUGCCGUGAAACCCCCCACUGUAACCCCAAAGGUUGACCUCGGAUCAGGUAGGAAUACCCGCUGAACUUAAGCAUAUCAAUAAGCGGAGGA
rnacentral:misc_RNA from 1 species